CCUACGGGUGGCUGCAGUGGGGAAUAUUGCACAAUGGGGGAAACCCUGAUGCAGCGACGCCGCGGGAGUGAAGAAGGAGUUAGGGAGGGAAAGCUCUAGCAGCAGGGAAGAAGAAAGACGGUACCUGACUAAGAAGCCCCGGCUAACUACGUGCCAGCAGCCGCGGUAAUACGGAGGGGGCAAGCGUUAUCCGGAUUUACUGGGUGUAAAGGGAGCGUAGACGGCUGUGCACGUCUGAGGUGAAAGCCCAGGGCUCAACCCUGGGACUGCUUUGGAAACUGUGGAGCUAGAGUGCUGGAGAGGUAAGUGGAAUUCCUGGUGUAGCGGUGAAAUGCGUAGAUAUUAGGAGGAACACCAGUGGCGAAGGCGGCUUACUGGACAGUAACUGACGUUGAGGCUCGAAAGCGUGGGGAGCAAACAGGAUUAGAUACCCCAGUAGUC
rnacentral:rRNA from 1 species